rnacentral:rRNA from 1 species
UUUCGGGGUACACGAGCGGCGAACGGGUGAGUAACACGUGGGUGAUCUGCCCUGCACUUCGGGAUAAGCCUGGGAAACUGGGUCUAAUACCGGAUAUGACCUCAGGUUGCAUGACUUGGGGUGGAAAGAUUUAUCGGUGCAGGAUGGGCCCGCGGCCUAUCAGCUUGUUGGUGGGGUAAUGGCCUACCAAGGCGACGACGGGUAACCGACCUGAGAGGGUGACCGGCCACACUGGGACUGACACACGGCCCACACUCCUACGGGAGGCAGCAGUGGGGAAUAUUGCACAAUGGGCGAAAGCCUGAUGCACCGACCCCGCGUGAGGGAUGACGGCCUUCGGGUUGUAAACCUCUUUCAGCAGGAACGAAGCGCAAGUGACGGUACCUGCAAAAGAACCACCGGCUAACUACGUGCCACCAGCCGCGGUAAUACGUAGGGUGCAAGCGUUGUCCGGAAUUACUGGGCGUAAAGAGUUCGUAGGCGGUUUGUCCCGUCGUUUGUGAAAACCAGCAGCUCAACUGCUGGCUUGCAAGCGAUAC